rnacentral:rRNA from 1 species
CGAGUAGGCGGUUAUUUAAGUCAGAUGUGAAAACUCACGGCUCAACCGGGAGAUUGCAUUUGAUACUGGAUGGCUUGAGUGCAGGAGAGGACAGUAGAAUUCCUAGUGUAGCGGUGAAAUGCGUAGAUAUUAGGAGGAAUACCAGUGGCGAAGGCGGCUGUCUGGACUGUAACUGACGCUGAGGCGCGAAAGCGUGGGGAGCAAACA